AUGCAUUCUUGUUUACCAAGUCACAUUUGGAGAAGAUUAUUCACAGUAAGUAACUUCUCAUUUUGUAUGGAUUUAUUGAAGUCUUGCACUCAUGUCCAUCAAUCCACAACUCAUAACCCAAUUAAAACUUUAUCCAGACACACAUUAACACAUAGAACAUAUUUUUACUUAUCUAUAUAUAUUUUAAAGUAA